rnacentral:rRNA from 1 species
GAUGAACGCUGGCGGCGUGCCUAAUACAUGCAAGUAGAACGCUGAAGCUUGGUGCUUGCACCGAGCGGAUGAGUUGCGAACGGGUGAGUAACGCGUAGGUAACCUGCCUCUUAGCGGGGGAUAACUAUUGGAAACGAUAGCUAAUACCGCAUAAAAGUCGAUAUCGCAUGAUAUUGAUUUGAAAGGUGCAAUUGCAUCACUAAGAGAUGGACCUGCGUUGUAUUAGCUAGUUGGUGAGGUAACGGCUCACCAAGGCGACGAUACAUAGCCGACCUGAGAGGGUGAUCGGCCACACUGGGACUGAGACACGGCCCAGACUCCUACGGGAGGCAGCAGUAGGGAAUCUUCGGCAAUGGGGGCAACCCUGACCGAGCAACGCCGCGUGAGUGAAGAAGGUUUUCGGAUCGUAAAGCUCUGUUGUAAGAGAAGAACGAGUGUGAGAGUGGAAAGUUCACACUGUGACGGUAACUACCAGAAAGGACG